rnacentral:lncRNA from 1 species
CACGAUUACAAGGUGAAGUCCCAUGAUAUGCUGUCUGCAAGCUGAGGAAGAAGGAAGCCAAUAGUGGCUCAGUCAGAGUUCAGAAGCCUCAAAAGCAGGGAAGCUGAUAGUAUAGCCUUCAGUCUGUGGCUGAAGGCCUGAGAGCCCCUGGAAAACCACUGGUGUAAGUCCAAGAGUCCAGAAGCUGAAGAACCUGGAGUCUGAUGACCAAGGGCAGGAAGCAUCCAGCACGGGACAAAGAAGAAAGCCAGAAGACUCAGCAAGCCAGCUCACCUCACUUUCUUCUGCCUGCUUUGUUGUAGCUGAGCUGGCAGCCAAUUGGAUGGUGCACACUCACAUUGAGGAUUGGGAGGCUGCUGUGUAUGGAUAAGAUACCUGCUACAGCCAGCUUGACACCAUGAGAAGGACAAGAGAAUUGCAGAGACACAUAUCCAGGAUUCUGAUCCAGUUGAGGCACUGAAAUAAUCUAGAACCACCUUCAAAUUUCUUAUAAAGAGAGCUAUGCUAUUAGGAUUUAAUUAAAUGGAUGCCAACAGCAAGUAAACCAUCUCCAAAGAUGCCAUGAAGCUCUCCUAAUUGCAGGAAAAUAUCAGAGGCACUUGAUUUGAGUCUUUCAAGUACAGAAAUAACAAAUUCAGUCUCAACAGACCUAUAGUGAAUGAGAAUGAUUGUCACAUAAUGUGUAGAGAAAAUGGAAGAAUCAAAGGCAAGGCAAACCUGUACAGUGGAGACACAAAAGGUCACUGGCAGAUUUCAAAUGAUCCAAGACAUCCUCAAGACAUUGAGAUCUGCUGAUUGGAGAUCUUAGUGCCCAAGGAAGAAUGCUUGCAAAAGGAGAUGGAACAGUGUUUCUGUUGCAUUGGCCACUGAGAAUAUCUGGUUAUUUUGAAUUUGUCACAGUCUGCAGCUAAAAGGUGAACAGGAAAAGAAGAGAGAGCGGUAAUUUGAAUGAUAGCAGAUUUCACAUCAGGAACCAAUGAAGCUAGAUAAGAAUGCAACAUCUUUGAUGUCUAAAAGAAACAAAAAGCCAACCUUGAAUUCUUUAUUUAGUGAAGUUACCCUUCAGAAAUGACGGCAAAAUAAAGAUGUUUUCCAAUAAAAGACAACUAUGAGAAUUCUUCACCAGCAGUCCUAUUGUAUCAGAACAGCCAAAAGAAGUUUGUCAGCCUACAGGGAAUUAUAUCAAAGGGAAGACUUGACCUUGAAAAUGAAUGAGGAAUAUAAGAAAUUGAUAUUAUCUGGGAAGCGGCACAUGAGACUAGCAGGAGUAAAUGUUUUAUACACUCGGCCUCGCAAAAAUUCUGCAAUCACUGGGAAUCAGUAACCUGGUGAAUGAGAAAACAACGUAAUACUGAAAAAUCAAAACACCAUCCUACAGAACUUUGAUGCAUUCAGAACAAAGCAGGAAUUCACUGAAUGUCUAUCUAUCAUGUAUGCUGUUGGAGGCACCUGUCUUUCAGUUCAGAGGUUAUGGAUGUAUCUAUCAUCAGUAUUUCGGGAAGUCAGGGACCCCGAACAGAUGGACUUAAUGAAGCUGUGGCAGAAGAACAAAUUGUGAAGAUUUCAUGGACAUUUAUUAGUUCCCCAAAUUAAUACUUUUAUAAUUUCUUACACCUGUCUUUACUGCACUCUCUGAACAUAAAUUGUGAAGAUUUCAUGGACAGUUAUCACUUCCCCAGUCAACACGCUUAUAAUUUCCUAUGCCUGUCUUUACUUUAAUCUCUUAAUCCCAUCAUCUUUGUAAGCUGAAGAUGUAUGUCCCUCAGGACCCUGUGAUGAUUGCGCUAUCUGCACAAAUUGUUUGUAAAGCAUAUGUUUUUGAACAGUAUGAAAUCUGGGCAUCUAGAAAAGGAACAGGAUAACAACGAUUUUCAGGGAACAAGGGAAAUAACCAUUAGGUCUGACUGCCGGGGAGCCGGGCAGGACCAAGUCAUAUUUCUCUUAUUGUCAAAAACGGGUAAGAGAAAUAUUGCUGAAUUCUUUCCCCAGUAAGGAAUAUUAAUAAUUAACAACCCUGGGAAAAGAAUGCAUUCCUGGGGGGAGGCCUCUAAAAUGGCCGCUCUGGGAAUGUCUGCCUUAUGCAGUUGUAGAUAGGGAUGAAACAUGCCCUGGUCUCCUGCAGCGCCCCCAGGCUUGCUAGGAUUAGGAAAUCCAGACUGGUGAAUUUUAGACAGACUGGUUGCCUGCUCUCAAACCCUAUCUUCUGAAAAGAUAUUAUCAAUGACAAUGUGUGCCCGGUGGUACAUGAGACUUCCUCAGCAAUUCUAAUUUUGCCCUGAUCAUGUGAUCUCACUCUGCCCCCAUCUGCCUUGUGAUAUUUUAUUGCCCUUGAAGCAUGUGAUCUCUGUGACCCACACCCUAUUCGUACACCCCUCCCCUUUUGAAAUCCAUAAUAAAAUCUUGCUAGUUUUGUGGCUGAAGGGGCAUCACAGAACCUGCCGACAUGUGAUGUCUCCCCCAGACACCUAGCUGUAAAAUUUCUCUCUUUUGUACUCUUUCCCUUUAUUUCUUAGACCAGCUGACACUUAGGGAAAAUAGAAAAGAAACUAUGUUGAAAUAUUGGGGGCUGGUUCCCCCAAUACAUUUCGACCUUGGAGAAUCUGAUGAUUUUGUGCCUGAUGGUUUUCUUUUGUAGUAUCUUGUUGGGGUUCUCUGCAUUUCCUGAUUUGAAUGUUGGCCUCUAGGUUGGGAGAAUUUUCAUGGAUGAUAUCCUUAAACAUGUUUUCCAAGUUGCUUACUUUCUCUCCCUCUCUUU